AGUACGACCGAAAAUACSAAGAGGCUUUAGAUCACCACCGCAGGUGGGGAGGUUCUCGGCGUCCUUUCCUCAGAUUUCGRCCCGUGGUUGCGGUGCACACCUUAASACCAACUUCCGUCCCAUUUUUGAUUGGGAUGAUAGGGACCAGAAUUUGUGACACCCCGGCACAAAUGCCCUCRAGGAAAAGGCUUGGGGCGCAACUUGCGUUCCCACACCCGAUGGUUCGCGGGAUUCGGCGCUUCACACCARAUAUCGCAUUUCAAUAMCUUCUUCAUCGAUGCGAGAGCCGAYAUAUCCGUUGCCGAAAGUCRUUUUARACUUUAAAUUGGUGUGCAUUGCCCGCACMCGCACCGUGACCGGUCAUGCAAAGGCUGUUUGUCCCAUUGCCUGUUCCUUGACACUUUUCCUGCCKGGGUUUUGUGAAAUCCCGACCCACCCC
rnacentral:misc_RNA from 1 species